rnacentral:piRNA from 1 species
UAUGAUGCAGGCCUUACUAGGUGCAGU